AUGGGGAGAAUUCCAGGGUAUCUGCUGAUUGGCUCAGCACUCUGUAUGGGCGUGGUCAGUCUAACCCUAAGCUACACCUCCAGGGUCAGAGUUCACAAAGGGAGGAGCCUCACACUGCCCUGCAUGAACACAACACAUGCAGGUGAGAUAACACACACAAAAAAUACUACCUUUUUGGAAUGUCCCCAUACCCCUGUUAUACUGGUGUGUGUGUAGAAGUGGUCCAGUACUGGCAGACCCCAUUCAGUCAGGUCCUGAACAGCAGUCUUCAUGCCAACCAGAAAGAUGUGGUUACUACGCAACGAGAUGGUAGCCUGCGGAUCCACAUUGCCUGUGCUCACCACAGCAGCCUGUACUACUGCCUCCUACUGACCGGAGGACAAACUACACUCAUCCUACCUGCUGACUGCCAGCAGUCGACAGGACCGUGCGGUCGAACCCAGGCGUGUGGUCAGGAGUGUUCUGGGUGGUCAUGGAGAGGGAUGUUGCCAUGGUUUCUGACGGUGUGUUUGCGGCGGCGGUGACGGCAUCAGUAGUGGUGACGUUCCUGGUGGGGUUCAGCUCUGGAGCUCUAAGCAGGAGUCUACUGGACAGCACUCCUAAGGUGUGUGAAUUGGGUCCGGUCGUAACCAUGGUGAAACAGUCAGCGUGGCAUUCCGGCAGGAUGUGGAACAAGAGGAUGAGGAUAACUCUGCCUCGACGACAAGCAUUAUCAUGGAUAAAGUCAGCCCAUCUCCACCGGCCAAAACUCAGAAGCUUCAGGAUCAAAUGUCAUGAAGAGAACAGUACUUAUCCCCCGCCCCCUGGGCCAAGCAGUGCUCGCUGUUCCUCACCAGGCUCAACACCAUCAUGGCUGCUGCCAGCGCCGGCCCCCUCGACACCCAGAGCCCCCCGGGUAGAGACUCCGACCCCCAGGACUCAGACCCAGACAAAAGGGAUACAGCCAGUCCAUCCCAGGGCCAGGAGAAACCAGUCUUUCAACUGGAGAUGUGACAUACAAGAUCUGGGCCUGUAUUCAUAAAGCGUCUCAGUAUGGCUGCUGAUAAAUUAUCCCAUCCUGACCGGUUCAUAUAAAUCUUAAUCAUUACGAAUUAAAAGGCAGAACUGUUUCUAGAUCAGCCCUCCUAGUCUUGAUAGAUGCAGCCCCUAAGCAGAAAGAUCAGGGUCAUGUUCAAUAGGGCAUACAGACACACCGUACCAAAAUGGUUUGGAACAGAAAACAAAAAUGAGUUUCUUACUGGACAACUUUAACAGAUAGUGCCUUGCCAUUUCACUCCAUUGUAAAACAUUUACUCAAUCACAAAUUCCCAGACAAAUGUAAGAUUCUAACUUGUCAUCAAAUCCAGCAGAUUCCAUUAAUAUUUUGUAAAAAUGUUAACUUUGGAUGAUUGUGUUGUUAGUCCCAGUGUAUAUGGUUCUAACCUUGUCCCCAGGUUACAAUUGUGCAAAGCUCUAAUAAGCCUGGAAUAACAUCUAUAGUCUGGCCUAUGUAGAAGUGAACAAAAAAAUAUUAUUUAUUUCUACAUUAUUUGAGCUUAGCGAAUCACACGACUGCAAGACAGGGCUCCAAAUUAGAGGUACACAACAUGUGAGGAAGUGUUCAGAGGGAAGUGAUUGAUUAAAUAUAAAGCAGAUGGCUAUUGGCUCGGGACUUUUUCGUCUUCUUUCUAUUGGGUUAAAGGCCCAGGGCAGUUUUAAAAAACGUGAUUUCCCUGUGUUUUAUAGACACUGAGUGUACAAAACAUUGGAAACGCCUGCUCUUUCCAUGU